CCGACAUUGUCCUGUUUGGCGCACUGAAACCAGUAUGUGAUGAAGUGGGGUCAAAGAAAGGCUUUUUCAUUCGUGGUUUCGUUCCAUAAUUGGCUCCUGCAGUAGCAGAGAUGCCAUGCUGCGUGCAUGUGAAGUCUUCAGAAGCUGGCAUUGGUUAUCUCACAUGGUGGAAAAGGCAAGAUGGUUUCAGGAGGCGUUCUGGAGGAGACAGCAUUGUUCUCAAGUAUCAUACAACAGUCUGAAGACAACACACUUUAGGACAUUGGGGUCUGUCGCUGAGGAGGAGAUGCUCACCGUAGUGCAAGUAGCUGGAGAGGGAGGUAUGGGAGAUGACGACGUUGUGGAGGUCGGUGUGGAACUGGAGUGCUGGAAGAUCUCAUCCUCUGUGUGACCUGAUGGAGA